AGAAUUACUUGAACCCAGGAGGCAGAGGCUACAGUGAGCUGAGAUCGUGCCAUUGCACUCCAACCUGGGUGACAGAGUGAGAGAGAGAAAAAAAAAAAAUAUAUAUAUAUAUAUAUGUAUUCUUACUGCUUUGGUAUACUAAUAUCUCUGCCUGACAGUUGACAAUGACACACCAGUUACUCUGGGAGUAUAUCUUACCAAGAAGGAACAGAAAAAACUUCGGAGACAAACAAGGAGGGAAGCACAGAAGGAACUACAAGAAAAAGUCAGGCUGGGCCUGAUGCCUCCUCCAGAACCCAAAGUGAGAAUUUCUAAUUUGAUGCGAGUAUUAGGAACAGAAGCUGUUCAAGACCCCACGAAGGUAGAAGCCCACGUCAGAGCUCAGAUGGCAAAAAGACAGAAGUAAGUGCCAUGGGAUUGGGUGGAAACCUCGGGCAAGUACCUUUCCCAAACUCUUCUGGGGGGUCCAUAUUUGGAGGGAGGGGAGAGUUCUCCGUUGCUCUCUCUUUCCCUCAG
rnacentral:lncRNA from 10 species